GAAACGACAUCGAAAGCUUGCUUUUGAUGGGCGUCGACCGGCGCACGGGUGAGUAACGCGUAUCCAACCUGCCCACCACUUGGGGGUAACCUUGCGAAAGUAAGACUAAUACCCAAUGACGUCUCUAGAAGACAUCUGAAAGAGAUUAAAGAUUUAUCGGUGAUGGAUGGGGAUGCGUCUGAUUAGCUUGUUGGCGGGGUAACGGCCCACCAAGGCUACGAUCAGUAGGGGUUCUGAGAGGAAGGUCCCCCACAUUGGAACUGAGACACGGUCCAAACUCCUACGGGAGGCAGCAGUGAGGAAUAUUGGUCAAUGGACGAGAGUCUGAACCAGCCAAGUAGCGUGCAGGAUGACGGCCCUAUGGGUUGUAAACUGCUUUUAUAAGGGAAUAAAGUGAGUCUCGUGAGGCUUUUUGCAUGUACCUUAUGAAUAAGGACCGGCUAAUUCCGUGCCAGCAGCCGCGGUAAUACGGAAGGUCCGGGCGUUAUCCGGAUUUAUUGGGUUUAAAGGGAGCGUAGGCCGGAGAUUAAGCGUGUUGUGAAAUGUAGACGCUCAACGUCUGCACUGCAGCGCGAACUGGUUUCCUUGAGUACGCACAAAGUGGGCGGAAUUCGUGGUGUAGCGGUGAAAUGCUUAGAUAUCACGAAGAACUCCGAUUGCGAA
rnacentral:rRNA from 1 species